rnacentral:rRNA from 1 species
UACGUAGGGGCCUAGCGUUGUCCGGAUUUAUUGGGCGUAAAGAGCGUGUAGGCGGCCAGGUAGGUCUGCUGUGAAAACUCGAGGCUCAACCUCGAGACGUCGGCGGAAACCAUCUGGCUAGAGUCCGGAAGAGGAGAGUGGAAUUCCUGGUGUAGCGGUGAAAUGCGCAGAUAUCAGGAAGAACACCCGUGGCGAAGGCGGCUCUCUGGUACGUGACUGACGCUGAGACGCGAAAAGCGUGGGGAGCAAACAGG